ensembl:snoRNA
CUCCACGUAUCUUUGGAACCUGUCAGCUGUGGCAGUCGCCCUUCCUAGCCAUGGAAGAGCACAUUCUUGUUUUUGUUGACAAAGCUGUCACCAUUUGGUAUCAGAUUCUGGCCUGCACAAGUAACAUUC